rnacentral:tRNA from 7 species
AGAGGAGGGUUUGAGUCCUUUCUUCCUGA